rnacentral:rRNA from 1 species
GACGUAGGAUGCGAGCGUUGUCCGGAAUUAUUGGGCGUAAAGGGCGCGUAGGCGGUCGUUUAAGUUUGGUCUUAAAGACUGGGGCUCAACCCCAGGACUGGACCGAAAACUGGACGACUAGAGGACGGUAGAGGAAGGUGGAAUUCCCAGUGUAGCGGUGAAAUGCGUAGAUAUUGGGAGGAACACCAGUGGCGAAAGCGACCUUCUGGACCGUUUCUGACGCUGAGGCUCGAAAGCUCGGGGAGCAAACAGG